GGUAUGGUCUAGGGGAGGUCCUCAGGAGACAGGAGCACCCUCUCGCUAGGAAGGCUGAUUGACGAAGGCCACAGGGAUGGAAUUAAUCCUAUGGUGGGCCUUGGAAAGGGGGCCAGGUGCACAGAGGCAGUACUUGGAGGCAGCCUUCCAGGAGAGAAAGAAGGAGCCGAGGGAGAAGCCAGAGGCCCAGGAACCAGAGGAGAGGCAGUGUUAAGCACAGAUGGCAGAGAACUGGCAUAUGUGGCUUGGUGGCAUUUGCCCAGCUGGCCCCAGCGGGAAUGACCCUCCUGUGCAUGACAGAGUCCACCCCCUGCCCUGGGACCAGCCAUCCAUCCCCGCUGCACAACCCCUGAACGCUGCCCCAGCAUGCUUAGGAUCUGGUCUCAUGCGCACCAGCACCACCAACCCAAACCAAAUGGUAGCGCACAUCUAGCUCCGCGAGCAGACAGACAGGAAGGAGGGAUUCCUAUGUUCUAGGCUCAUGCCCUAACCACCUCCUUGUUCCCCUGGACCCUGCUACCUCUAAUCUAAUCCAACUUGAACCAGGCUUCUUGAGGCCGCAACUAGGACCAAGUCCCCACUGUGCUCGGCGCUGUACGUACCCAUAGUGAGAGACAACUGCUACCCUGCAGCACUUACAGUCAAGACAGACAGGGAGUGGGAGCGGAAACAGAGACACAAUGCCUGCCACAGGAGAUCCAGCCAGAGCCAGAAAUAGAAGCCAGCUCUGUUGUCCUAGCUGCUAGUGUCAUAGAGUUUGAGGCCAGAAAGGCCCACCAGAUGAUCCAGUCUAACCUCCCGUAUCUCACAAGCCACCAGCCCCACCCAGCACCCGCACGCUAAAUCCAACAACCAAAAUGAGACAGUCACACUCUGUCAGUCACACCCUGUCUAGGUAAGGUACAGAGAUUGCCCCCAUCACUAUCGUAUCCAAGCACCUCACAAUUUCUUCAAUGUAUGUAGCCUUAUAACACUCCUGUGAGGCCAGCAGACCUGUUAUCCCCAUUGUGCAGAUGAGGAAACUGAGGCACAGAGCAAGAUCAAGUGACUUGCCCAGGGAGUCUGUGGCUGAGCAGAAAAUUGAAGCCAGGUCACCCAAAUUCCAGGCUAGCACCCAAACCACUGGCUCAUCCUUCCUCUAUGCUUUUGUAUCUCAAAGAGUCUUUAAGAAAUAACAACCUGCAUGUUCUUUGGGGAUAGAUCAAUGGAGCUAUUUCACUGUGAAAUAACAUAGGAAUUACCAGAGCAGAUCAGACCAGGGGACCAUCUGACAGUAGCCAGCUCCAAUCACUUCUAAAAAAGAAGAUAUAAGAAACCCUGUAAUGGUCAAUGACAAAAUAAUCUGCCCAUAGGGGAAGUCCCUUCAUGACCCCUGUAAAUUAGAGGUUGACAUAUGCCCUGAAGCAUGAGGGUUUACAUCCCUUCUACACUUUUAUUCUAUUUAAUAUAAUUGUGGUUGUGCUUGUUAUCCACAGCAAUGUCCAGUCCUUUUCUGAAUCUUACUAGCUCUGGGUUUCAGCAAUACCUUGUGUUAAUGAGUGCCACAGAAUACAGAUGCAUGUAUGAGAAUGAUCAGUAUCCCUGCUACCUCAGUCUUGUCUUUGUAUCUACUGAAAUCUGGCAUGUGUAUCCUUUGGGCAGGCAAUACUCAUAGCCAGAACUCUGAUUGACUGAAGGGCCCAAGGGCUGGAGUUAGUGAUUUGAACAUUUUCUUCUUCCCAAAGGUGUUCUCCCAGUGGCAUCCCCAGAUACUGGCUGCUAUCAGUCCCGGGACAGACUAUAACAUAAGUGAUUGCUGCUGUGGAGCUGGCUAUGGUGUAUUGAAAACUAUGUAAAAGUUGUAAUCUAUCACUUUAAAUUCUCAGGGGUUUUCCUGAUUCUGCUUGCAGGCUAGUGGGCUCUGGGAAAGCAUGGGAUUAGAGUCAGUCUGCAGCCAGCCAGCCUAGAAUAAAGUGGGGUGAGUUGUGCCUCUCUGUUUUAUGGAGCAGCCUGCUUUGUCUCUCUCUGUUUUGGGGCUCUUGUGUGUUAUCGUUCUGGAUUCUAAGAAGUAAAGUAGUGUUAUGCUGCUCAAUCUUC